rnacentral:rRNA from 1 species
UAAGGAAUAUUGGUCAAUGGACGCAAGUCUGAACCAGCCAUGCCGCGUGAAGGAUGAAGGUCCUCUGGAUUGUAAACUUCUUUUAUCUGGGACGAAAACGGGAUUUUUAUCUCAAUUGACGGUACCAGAGGAAUAAGCACCGGCUAACUCCGUGCCAGCAGCCGCGGUAAUACGGAGGGUGCGAGCGUUAUCCGGAUUUACUGGGUUUAAAGGGUGCGUAGGUGGGCUUAUAAGUCAGUGGUGAAAUCUGCGAGCUUAACCUGGGAAUUGCAUUUGAAACUGAUUGGCUAGAGUACGGGAGAGGGAAGUGGAAUUUCCGGUGUAGCGGUGAAAUGCGUAGAUAUCGGAAGGAACACCAGUGGCGAAGGCGACUUCCUGGCCCGUUACUGACACUGAGGCGCGAAAGCGUGGGGAGCG